AUGGCUUCAGCGCAGCCGUGGAGGUCUAUGUUCUGCUGCGUCGGAGGCGCGGCGGCGGGGGCGGCCACCGACGACGAAGGGCCGUCGCCGUCUUCCACGCCGAGGCGGAGGAGAGGGGAGCGGAGGACGCUGCUGCCGUCGUCGUCCGCGUCGACGGCGUCCCGGCUCUCCCUGUCCAGCCUGGGGUCGACGGGCACGCUGACGCCGGAGGACCUCUCGCUGACGCUCUCCGGCUCCAACCUGCACGCCUUCACCUACGCCGAGCUCAGGGCGGCCACCGCCGGCUUCUCCCGCUCCAGGUACCUCGGCUGCGGCGGCUUCGGGCCCGUGUAUAAGGGCCAGCUCGCCGCUGAGCUCCGGCCGGGCCUGGAGGCGCAGACGGUCGCCGUCAAGUACCUCGACCUCGACUCCAGCUCGCAGGGCCAUAACGAGUGGCUGGCGGAGGUGUUCUUCCUUGGGCAACUGAGGCACAGGAACCUGGUGAAGCUCGUCGGGUACUGCUACGAGGAGGAGCACCGGAUGCUGGCCUACGAGUACAUGGGCACCGCCAGCCUGGAGAAGCACCUCUUCAGAAGCAUCGACGGCCCCAUGCCGUGGAUGACGAGGAUGAAGAUCGCCGUCGGCGCCGCCAAGGGCCUCGCCUUCCUCCACGGCGCCGACACGCCGGUCAUCUUCCGCGACCUCAAGGCGUCCAACAUCUUGCUCGACUCGGACUAUACCGCCAAGCUGUCCGACUUCGGCCUGGCCAAGGAUGGGCCCAACGGCGACGCCACCCAUGUCACGACACGUAUCAUGGGGACACAUGGAUAUGCCGCACCAGAGUACAUCAUGACGGGGCAUCUAACCGCUAAGAGCGACGUUUAUAGCUUCGGCGUGGUGCUCCUUGAGCUGUUAUCGGGUCGGCGGUCCAUUGACCGUGCUCGACGUUCCAGGGAGCAAAGCUUGGUUGACUAUGCCAGACCUUACCUCAAGAAGCAGGACAAGCUGCAUCGGGUCAUGGAUCCGGCUUUGGAAUGCCAGUACUCGUGUCAGGGGGCCGAACUGGCUGCACGUGUAGCGUACAAAUGCUUGAGCCAAAACUCAAAGUUGAGGCCCACCAUGAAAGAGGUCGUUCAGGCCCUAGAGCCCAUACUGAAGAUGGAUGACUACCUACAAGUGGGUCCAUUCGUGUUCACAGUCGUAGUGGAAAAUACCGAUAGAAACGUUGAGAAGAAAGAAAAGCUUAUUGAUGAUGAGUGGAAGGCUGACAUGAAGGUUGAGAAGAUUGUAGAGGACAAGCACCAGAGCCACCAAGAUCGACACCGGCAAAAGUUCCCAAACUCAAUGAUACACGCCGACAUUUUGCUGCAACGGGAUGGUGCCAUCGGGCCGUAUACCACUGCGCUACAACGUCACCGAAGAGCAUCAAGUUACACCGAGGAAAGGGGUGCAUAG
rnacentral:rRNA from 1 species